rnacentral:lncRNA from 12 species
CAGGAAGCAAUUGAAGGCUAGGCUGAACUCUUCACUGAAGUGAUAAAAAGCCUUUACUGGUGAAUUUUUGUUAUGCUUCAAUUACUUGCAUUUCAAUUACACUUUCUCUAAUACCAGAUCUCCUCGUCAUCCUGUUAAACACACAUUCAAUAGCUGUCCUUUUCUUAUUAACCAUGCACUGGAAAAAGCAAAAUAUUUCCUCAAAGGCCUGUAGAGAAUAUUCUUGGAACCCACUGCAACCUUAUUGCUUGGGGAAGAUUUAGUCUAAAGAUACCUGUACUUCAUCUCCCUGAAUCAAAAGCAGGUAAUGAAGAUCUUGGAUUCUAUAUUUUUACCACUGUUUGCAACUUAUGUUUAAAUAAAAUACAAUUUCAGAACCUAUCUACUAAACAGCUCUGCAUUGAGAGCAUACUGCUUUCAAGCUUUAAUUGGUGAGGUAGUACAAAUGUUAUUUGCUUGUUAAUUCAUUUUACUAUAUCUUAAAGGUAAAUGAAGAAGACUCUAAUUUAAAAAGUAAAAUAAUUCCAUCAGUUAUAUUUUCUUAUUGUGGAAUGCCCUGGAU